rnacentral:rRNA from 1 species
UACGUAGGGUGCAGGCGUUAAUCGGAAUUACUGGGCGUAAAGCGUGCGUAGACGGCUAUCUAAGUCGGGUGUGAAAGCCCCGGGCUCAACCUGGGAAUUGCAUUCGAGACUGAAUAGCUAGGGUGCGGUAGAGGGAAGCGGAAUUUCCGGUGUAGCGGUGAAAUGCGUAGAUAUCGGAAGGAACAUCAGUGGCGAAAGCGGCUUCCUGGACCAGCACCGACGUUCAGGCACGAAAGCGUGGGGAGCAAACAGG